rnacentral:rRNA from 1 species
UACGUAGGGGGCAAGCGUUGUCCGGAUUUAUUGGGCGUAAAGAGCGUGUAGGCGGCCAUACAGGUCCGUUGUGAAAACUGGAGGCUUAACCUCCAGACGUCGAUGGAAACCGUAUGGCUAGAGUCCGGAAGAGGCGAGUGGAACUCCUGGUGUAGCGGUGGAAUGCGCAGAUAUCAGGAAGAACACCAACGGCGAAGGCAGCUCGCUAGGACGGUACUGACGCUGAGACGCGAAAGCGUGGGGAGCGAACAGG